rnacentral:rRNA from 1 species
UACGUAGGGGGCAAGCGUUGUCCGGAUUUAUUGGGCGUAAAGAGCGUGUAGGCGGCCAAACAGGUCCACUGUGAAAACUCGAGGCUCAACCUCGAGAGGUCGGUGGAAACCGUCUGGCUAGAGUCCGGAAGAGGAGAGUGGAAUUCCCGGGUGUAGCGGUGAAAUGCGCAGAUAUCGGGAAGAACACCCGUGGCGAAGGCGGCUCUCUGGGACGGUACUGACGCUGAGACGCGAAAGCGUGGGGAGCGAACAGG